GUUGGUGAACCAGCGGAGGGAUCAUUAGCGAGUUUUCAACUCCCAACCCUUGCGAACCGUACCCCGUUCUGUUCUCGUUGCUUCUGGCGGGAGGGGGGGGGCGCGUCCUUCGGGGUGCGCUCCUCUCUCCCAGGUCCCUUCGGGGCGCCCGCCAGCGGCCGCGAGCCGCCCGAACCUUUUAUAAACUGUAACUGAAACGUCUGAGAAACAAACAAAAACAGCCAAAACUUUCAACAACGGAUCUCUUAGC
rnacentral:misc_RNA from 1 species